rnacentral:rRNA from 1 species
AAAAAAGGUAAGCUACUAAGAGCGAAUGGUGGAUGCCUUGACUGGUAAAGGCGAUGAAGGACGUACUAGACUGCGAUAAGCUACGGGGAGCUGUCAAGAAGCUUUGAUCCGUAGAUUUCCGAAUGGGGCAACCCAAUGUAUAGAGAUAUACAUUACCUAUAUAGGAGCGAACGAGGGGAAUUGAAACAUCUUAGUACCCUCAGGAAAAGAAAUCAAUAGAGAUUGCGUCAGUAGCGGCGAGCGAAAGCGCAAGAGGGCAAACCCAGUGCUUGCACUGGGGGUUGUAGGACUGUAAUGUGCAAGAGGUGAGUUUAGCAGAACAUUCUGGAAAGUAUAGCCAUAGAGGGUGAUAGUCCCGUAUGCGAAAAACAAACCUUAGCUAGCAGUAUCCUGAGUAGGGCGGGACACGAGAAAUCCUGUCUGAAGCUGGGUCGACCACGAUCCAACCCUAAAUACUAAUACCAGAUCGAUAGUGCACAAGUACCGUGAGGGAAAGGUGAAAAGAACUGAGGUGAUCAGAGUGAAAUAGAACCUGAAACCAUUUGCUUACAAUCAUUCAGAGCCCUAUGUAGCAAUACAGGGUGAUGGACUGCCUUUUGCAUAAUGAGCCUGCGAGUUGUGGUGUCUGGCAAGGUUAAGCAAACGCGAAGCCGUAGCGAAAGCGAGUCUGAAUAGGGCGCUUAGUCAGAUGCUGCAGACCCGAAACGAAGUGAUCUAUCCAUGAGCAAGUUGAAGCUAGUGUAAGAACUAGUGGAGGACUGAACCCAUAGGCGUUGAAAAGCCCCGGGAUGACUUGUGGAUAGGGGUGAAAGGCCAAUCAAACUUCGUGAUAGCUGGUUCUCUCCGAAAUAUAUUUAGGUAUAGCGUUGUGUCGUAAUAUAAGGGGGUAGAGCACUGAAUGGGCUAGGGCAUACACCAAUGUACCAAACCCUAUCAAACUCCGAAUACCUUAUAUGUAAUCACAGCAGUCAGGCGGCGAGUGAUAAAAUCCGUCGUCAAGAGGGAAACAACCCAGACUACCAGCUAAGGUCCCUAAAUCUUACUUAAGUGGAAAACGAUGUGAAGUUACUUAAACAACCAGGAGGUUGGCUUAGAAGCAGCCAUCCUUUAAAGAAAGCGUAAUAGCUCACUGGUCUAGUGAUUUUGCGCGGAAAAUAUAACGGGGCUAAAGUAAGUACCGAAGCUGUAGACUUGCGCACAACUUAGAUUAUUUAAGUUUAGAAUAUGAGAAACUAAGUUAUAUGUUUAGUUAUAUUUUUACUGAUUUUUAUAGAGUAAAGAUAGAAAUAAAACUUAGUAAAAUCAGUAAAAAUAUUCUUAGAUUAAAGUUAAGUAGUUUAAGUUGUGUGCAAGUGGUAGGAGAGCGUUCUAUUUGCGUCGAAGGUAUACCGGUAAGGAGUGCUGGAGCGAAUAGAAGUGAGCAUGCAGGCAUGAGUAGCGAUAAUUAAUGUGAGAAUCAUUAACGCCGUAAACCCAAGGUUUCCUACGCGAUGCUCGUCAUCGUAGGGUUAGUCGGGUCCUAAGUCGAGUCCGAAAGGGGUAGACGAUGGCAAAUUGGUUAAUAUUCCAAUACCAACAUUAGUGUGCGAUGGAAGGACGCUUAGGGCUAAGGGGGCUAGCGGAUGGAAGUGCUAGUCUAAGGUCGUAGGAGGUUAUACAGGCAAAUCCGUAUAACAAUACUCCGAGAACUGAAAGGCUUUUUGAAGUCUUCGGAUGGAUAGAAGAACCCCUGAUGCCGUCGAGCCAAGAAAAGUUUCUAAGUUUAGCUAAUGUUGCCCGUACCGUAAACCGACACAGGUGGGUGGGAUGAGUAUUCUAAGGCGCGUGGAAGAACUCUCUUUAAGGAACUCUGCAAAAUAGCACCGUAUCUUCGGUAUAAGGUGUGGUUCGCUUCGUAUUAGGAUUUACUCCGAAAGCGAAGAAACUUACAACAAAGAGUCCCUCCCGACUGUUUACCAAAAACACAGCACUCUGCUAACUCGUAAGAGGAUGUAUAGGGUGUGACGCCUGCCCGGUGCUCGAAGGUUAAUUGAUGGGGUUAGCAUUAGCGAAGCUCUUGAUCGAAGCCCGAGUAAACGGCGGCCGUAACUAUAACGGUCCUAAGGUAGCGAAAUUCCUUGUCGGUUAAAUACCGACCUGCAUGAAUGGCGUAACGAGAUGGGAGCUGUCUCAAAGAGGGAUCCAGUGAAAUUGUAGUGGAGGUGAAAAUUCC